rnacentral:misc_RNA from 1 species
CUUAUCAUCAAUAUCAGACAUCCAUCUUAAUCUCAAAUGAAAGGAAAUUUUCAUAAACAAGCAAUAAAAAAGAACACAAUAAAAAUGAUAAUACAUUGCAUUGCACCAUCUCAAAUAUAUGUGCCAGAAUCACAAAAGCUGGCAGAAGAAAUUUUUAGCAGAAAAUUACCCUUGUACAGCAUGAUAUCUAAAUGCCACCUCCAGAAGCUCCUGAACACUCAGCAACAUCCUCUACCCUUAUUAUUGCUAAUUGUUGGACCAUUUUACCUCUAUCUGCUGAGCCAUCCAAAGCCCUGUUUAGCCUCUUUAGCCAAACAUCAUAAUCGACUGGAUAUGGAGUUCCACAAAGGCUAUCAACAUAAUCAGCAAACGCCUUUAAAAGAGCUGAAACCUCACCAAGUUGCUGUUGAAUUGAACGGUUUGCCCAGCUUCUCUCUCUCCAUUGCAAGGCAGAUUCAAUAGAAUCCUGUUGCUGCAUAGGCCCUCCACAGACAAAAUAGAGGAGAUAAAUAAGGCUUUCAGCAUCAGAUGAUGGACAAAACUUCCCAUGCUGAAGUGCGUGCGAUGAAGAGAACUGUAGAUUUAUUCCUGGGCUGUCCCUGUCUUCCAGAACUGCUCGUCCCCAGGAAAUUGGCAUAUAAAAGAAUCUGUUUCUUACCCCGAGGGAGUACAUUUCCAACUAGGCAGUCUCGGCAGUAGCGAACUGCCUCCUCCGAAGAAAAUGAGUUAUCCUGAGCAACUACUGAAGAGAGUUGCUCCCCAACUGGACAUGUCACAAGUAUUGGCGUUCCACACCAUGGAUGAUUACAACAAUCCCCAGGGCUCUACUUCUUACAUAGACCAGGAUGCAAAAUUCGGCCAGUGGCAAUUAUUUCUGGCAAAUAUUUGCUUGUAAUUCCUCUCUGCUUCAAGAUGUUUAGUACUUUUGUUUGCCUCUGUACUUGGUACCACAAACUCAUACCUUCCCAAGAUGGCUCUAGCCUAUGAGGAUGGGCACCCACAUAUAAAGUCAAUAACUCUGUCGGAUGAUCCAGAGAAACAGCACUAUAGAGAAAAUAGUUCCCUCCGACUAAAGACUUCUGAAUUUGAAAACUCUUAUGGCCCUGCUGCUGGUCCUCCAGCAGCAAUACUUCACCCUGCCUAAGCUUCAAACACAAUGAUUGCUUUCUAGAAGGAUCAUCACUUUGGUUAAAUUGUACUAUCUCUCCUUGAUGUCCCAUCUGUUGGAAAUGUACCGAGGUAGUUUUACCUUGACUAAGGGAGCACUCUGUCCUACGCUUCUGAAGACGUAGACUAUAAUCUAAGACCAAUGAAGCAAUUGAUUUUCUUGGUGGUCCAUUCCAUUGGAAAAUGUAAUAGAAAGUUGCCAGAAGUACUUGCAGAGUUCCUAUGUUCCCCCAAUUUGCACUGCCUAACUUAUUCCACACCUGGUCAACAGGGGAAACUCUAACUUCGGCAUGACGUUUGAUCCAUUCAGUAACAGAUUGGUAUGGAUUAGUUGACUUCAAUUCAAGUGUACUAAGAUCACCUCCAAGCUUCACCACACUAGCAAAUUUAGAAUCAAAAAAGAAAAACAGAAUCACUGUCACUUGUGUUGAGCUUGCUCAAACUCCUAGCAAUUAGUAUAUGAAUGCCAUAGAAGAGGGCUUCACAUAUGUAGCUGGUAGAUAAUUUUAACUCAUUACCGGACAGUAUAUCUGGUCUAAAUGAGGAAAGCUCCACCACUUGACCCCAAUGAACUUGUGGAUUAGUCCCAAUUUUUGAUAUCAAAGCUAAACCACAAAGCUCUUCAAGCCUUCCCCUUGAUAUUGCCUUCUGUACAGUGUAAAACUUUGAUCCAGGACGAAAGGGACAAGAUAAAAUGAAUGGCAGUGGCCGACUUUUGUGCCAAAAUGUACGCCAUAGACCAUUAACAACAGCAUGAAGAAAAUCUUCUAUUGCAAAAUAUUCAUCUUCUUUUGAAUCAUCAGAAGCAUAUGGUGAGCAUGGCAUAUGGAAUAGUUGCUGAAACAGCACCCCUUCCAAUGCUAAAUCAAGCUUGCGCAAUUCGUCAAUUGAGAAGGGAGAUGUGAAAGAUUGGUCACUGAUUGUAUCUUCAUGAAAAUUUUCCAAAACCCAAUCCUCAAGACUCUGUUUAAAUGACUCUAGGUUGGCAAGUUUCCUUCCAUAGUCUUUUAGUGCCUUGAGCACUCUUCUAGAAGUAGGAAUGAACUUGCUUGAAGCGGAAACGCUAGAUACACUAUGGGUAGAGAUAACAGCAUCCAACAGAAAUCCAUUUCAUAUUAACUGUGAACUUUAACAAGUAGCAGAAAAUAGACAGAUGUAUAAUAGAGAACAAAGUACCUUCUAAAGGAAAUGUAAAAGGGGUAAAGAAAAAUUAAAAGACUAAUCACUAUUACAAACCAGAGCUAGACUUCCUGAAAAUUCCAUCCAAACUCUGUCCAUGAUAUAAGUCCUCCAAAUCAUUUUGUGAAAACCCUGAGCCAUAAUAAUCCCAUUUGUGAAAUUUGAUAGCAUGGCAAGCUAUGCUGGAGAGAGAGAGAAUGCAUUAGAACAGUGGGAAAUUGAUGGUAAAUUUUGGGUAAAUUGCAGUUUAGUCCUUGAUAUUUGACAAAACCUAUUACUUAGUCCUUGUAUUUUCAAAACCAAGCAAUCCUUGUAUUUUCAAAACCAAGCAAUUUAAUUCCUGAGAUUUGGCAAAACCUACAAUUUAGCCCCUCCAUCCAAUUUUCUGUCUAAUUACCAAUGACCAAAAUGUCCUUAACUCUAUAUUUUCUAACAAAAAUGAUUUAGUCCCUAAAUUUUUGUGUUAUAAACAAAAUAGUCCCUUGAUUGAAACUUUAUAAACAAAAUAUUCCCUUAAUUUAAUGUUAUUUUAGCCAUUUUUGAUAUAAUUAAUGGUAAAUUGAAUGGAAAAUUGAAAGGGCUAAAUUGUAGGUUUUGCAACCUUAGGGACUAAAUUGCUUGGUUUUGAAAACACAAGGACUAAGUUGUAGGUUUUAUCAAACCUCAGUGGCUAAAAUGUAGUUUACCUUAUUUUGUCAUAUGGUAAAUAGUAGUUUAUGAAAGAGGAAAAUAUAAAUAGUAGUUUAUGAAAGAGGAAAAUAUUUACUGCAAAACAAAAUGGCAGAAAGACAAUAAGUCCAAAAGCAAGAUCUUUGCUUCUAAUAACAAACUGCAUAUGCCCCUUCAUGUAAAUCAGAAAAUUGACAGCAAAAUAGGUACUUGAAGUAAGAGAGGCCUAAAACAAAUUAUGGACAGCAUGGUUAACAACUACAGCCAUAUACCUAAAUUAAUAUUCUAUAUGAAGUAAAACUAUGACACUUUAAUGGUAGCACAGUCAUUCAUCACUGCUGCGAUAGCAAUCAAAUAAAUGUCUUUGGAUUUAGCAAUGCUCCCCUUGAGUCAGCCACUUUCUUACAAGUCUGAUGCAACCCAUCAUAUUUUUUCUGAAGUUUCAAAACUGCUAAUGUUUCUUUCUUAAUAAACUUUUUUUACCUUUUUAACCAAUAAAUAAAAUUCAAGACAGUUGGCUUGAAAUUUAUCAAAACCAUCCAGAAUAAUGCAGCAAGGGAGGAGCACAAUAUAUAUCGAUAUAGAGGAGUUAUAAACAUAAAAUUGCAUUAUUAUUAUGUAUGACACUUGAACACAUGGGCAAUCUCAUUACUAUAGACCACUAUCAAUUUCAGAACUACAGUCAGAAAUGCAAUUUUUUUUUAGCAGACCAUUUGUGAAAAAGCAAAAAGGUGAAGAUACAAAGGCUCUAGCAGCUGGAGAGAAAAGUAAGAGGGUUAUAAGCACAUGGUUUGUUUAUUUAUUGAUGAAUUAUUGUCCAAUCAAUGCAAUAAGUUGAAAAGCAUCAAAUUUAAGGAAUUUUUAUACUUUUUAACAAAAAAAGAUGAGACAAAACAAUCACACUUAAGAACAUCAAAUUUAAUUCUGGGUUGAUUAUCUACAUCUCCAUGCCAAAUCCAUUAUAUUAGUAAAGGGUUUCAACCAAGGCUAGGUCAAAGAUCUGGAAAUUAAGAAUGUCAAUAGGUGAACAUACCUCCAUUACAUUGCAAACAAUCACAUGAAUUAUCUAAACUCAUCAAAGGGUGAAAAUGUUAAACCUUUCAGUAUUUUAUGCUAUAACUUUGAACUACCACAAACUGACAAAAGUUUCUGCAUUUGAUUUCCAUUAAUAAAUAUAAGCACAGGCACAGCUACGAUUAAACUUCAAACCCUUAGAUGAAGUGUUCCUAACAAAAAGUCCAAAUAUCCACUUAAACACAGCACAAAUAUGUGUAUCAUCAUAAACAAAAUGAUGUAAAUAAUAGUGUUCACGAUUAGAUAAGUGAAUCUAAAUAGAUUAUGAUCUUAUUGACGCAGCAUGUACGGAAAAUUAUCGACACAUGAUCAAACCCUUGAGAAUAAAUAAGAUCUAAUACAAGAUUUUAAGAAACACAAUAUUCAAUUCAGAAUCUAAGAAGAAAAUAACACAAACCAGUUUUAUUAAGAAGAAAAUUUCAUUAAAAUAA